rnacentral:sRNA from 1 species
GUUGAAGCGGCCAUCUUACACUAGUGCGAGAAGUCGAGCCGUCUUUUCAACCGAAAGAGGAGAGAAUGAUAUAUCGGUAUUUAUAGGCAGAACUCUGUGCCAUAACGAUAGCCGCAAAAGAAAUUCUGGGAAUGGAUUAAGAGUGUUCGAAAUCAGGAUAUAUGCCGGCCCUGUAGGUCGCGGAUUCUAGAACAGUGCGGUCGAAGUGUGUGGAAUCCAUCAAUAGACUGUGGUUUUACAUAUAUAGUCCUAGCAUGGUUUAGCAGAUACGAUGGCGCCGUAUUGAUGCUGGACCCUAACACUCAUCUUGCCACCGAGUAAACUCACCUUUGCAUGGUGGGCUACCCAUUCAAACUUAACCUAAACUAUUAACAAUACAUUGUAAAAAAUUGCACAGAGAAAUGAUAAAACAGGAAUAACAGUUUUCUAAAUACAA